CAGGGAGACAACAAAAUGUUUAAUAUUAUUAUUUUGUCACCUUAGGUCGAUCGGUAUCUCACGUUUUUAAUUUAUUAAGAAUUUCAUUUCCUAAGUUUUUCUAGGUCACACCCAUUAUUUUUCCUGGGCCAUUAGCUCAGGUGGUUAGAGCGCACCCCUGAUAAGGGUGAGGUCCCUGGUUCAAGUCCAGGAUGGCCCAUAUCUCUAUGUUGGGGGUAUAGCUCAGUUGGUAGAGCGCCUGCUUUGCAAGCAGGAUGUCAGCGGUUCGAGUCCGCUUACCUCCACUGAUUACCACCUCUUCCAUAACUUGUAGAAAGGAAAUUUUUUGAGUUGUGAUCAAAUUCUGAACGAAUCUAGCUUCCUAAUGAAAUCAUUAAGAUGCUGGACUCAUUGAAUUAAUUUCAUUGUUUUCAGAGAACCUUGACAACUGCAUAGAUUAUUUUUAAAGACAAUAAGCAUCUUUAAUGAUGCAGAUUUAUUAUUUGUGCGAAUGCAUUAAUAACAAUUCUAUUAAGCUGAUGCUUCAAUUUUUGAAGUUAUU
rnacentral:tRNA from 1 species